AUGUCUGAUCUUGGCCAUCUUCCAUACUUUCUUGUGAUAGAGGUCUGUUCUACCGCUAAUGGCUUUACUCCCUCCGUCCGGAAAUACUUGUUGGAGAAAUUUCAGGGAGUAUUUCCCAAGACAAAUAUAUCCAGAAUAUUCUUGCUCGUGCUACUCUUACUGAUGGGUGCACUAUUGGGACUCCCAUGGAGCGCAAUGUUCACCUUUGUGCUACUGAUGGUGACCGUGUCUGAUCUGACACGUUAUCAUCAUCUUGAUGGGAGUCUUGUCGAGUGUUAUGUAGAUGAUCUCAUUGCAAAGGUGGUAUCCUAUGAAGAAAAUCUUCAACAUCUCGAAAUCGUAGUCAACCGCCUAAGGCAACAUGUUAAACCUAUUGAAGUGUGCCUUCAUGGUCUCGUAAGGCAUUCCUAG
rnacentral:rRNA from 1 species